AAAAGAUCUUUCUCCAAAAGCAUAAUUGAUCAAUCAUCUCAUAGUUAGGUUUUGAGGUCCCUCAGUGCUGGGAUGAACCUGUUCUAGGUUGCUGGUCUAAUCUCACACUAGAGGGAGUAAAUGGAGGCUAACAGUCAGUUUCAAAACCCUUUUAGUAACAUUAGAGCAAGAAGGGAGUUUUGAAGAAAGCGACUCUCAGGCUUUCUACCUGGAUGGUGUUCAUUACAUAGUUUAAUUUUGUCUAUUCCAUAGUUUUUUGUUAUCAUCUCGAAGUGUUAGGCCAGUAUUAUUUUGCCAGGAAUUGUACUUCUGAAAAAAAAUUAACAAGUAACAGAUAAGAAGUUUUAAAAGGGAAAAUACAAAGUAAAAUUCAUACUAAUAUGACAAUCCAAGUUUGCAUGAUGGUUUUGAGCCAUGAACCCAGGCUAAGAACAACGAAUUGUAUAAAUCAAGUAACCAUUAUCUUCGCAAGUAAAAAAGUGGGCAUUAAGAGCGGUAAGAGUCUCAUUAUGACAUAUAGUCUUAUUGUGAAACCUUCAGAAAAGCUAUCUACAGCAUGGAAACAUCAACUUCUCAUCCUGGUUUAUAGGUGGAAUUAUGGAAUUGGGUGGUUUGGUAACUUUCUUGUGACCAAAGCAACAAGCAUGAAACUUAUUCCUUAAAAUUCAUCUAGUUUCAGCUUAUAGGAGUUCAGGAAGAGAGCAGUUCUUGUUUUUAGCAAUUCCAUGGAAGAAAGCUGGAUUGGGCCGGAUGUGGCAGCUCAUAUCUGUGAUCCCAGAAAAGAAAAAAAGAAAAAGAAGGCUGGAUUGGAGGAAUCUAAAAGAAUUCAGGAUCUAGUCUAGUCCAUAGUUAAACAACAAAAACUCAAAAACAAUGCACAGAGAUACAAUCCAAUAAUAAGUAUAUUAUAGCUUUUCUUUAGAAACAUAACUUUCCCUAAUACCAUAUAGGAAUCUCAGAUUUAAAUAACUCUUUAGGCUAGGAAGGUAAACCAAGGCUGAGUUUACAUUUUGCCUACAAUUUUAAGGUUCCUGGCCCUUCCAGGAAGUGACCAUUUUUACUCACUCACUGUAAGGCUGAGAAUCAUUGAAGUCAGGCAUUCUAUGCACAUUUUCAAAUAUGAUAUUUUAGUCAAAUCCCUGGUAAUAUAAUCAAUGUUUCCAACUGUAUCCUGCUAUAAAGAGAAGGCAGAUUAUUAUUGGACUUAUUCAACUAACCUAAUUGUUAUAAAAAUAAAAACACUUAUAAAUAGUUUCCAAAUUUU
rnacentral:lncRNA from 1 species